rnacentral:rRNA from 1 species
GAUGAACGCUGGCGGCGUGCCUAAUACAUGCAAGUCGAGCGAACAGAUGAGGAGCUUGCUCCUCUGACGUUAUCGGCGGACGGGUGAGUAACACGUGGAUAACCUACCUAUCAGACUGGGAUAACUUCGGGAAACCGGAGCUAAUACCGGAUAAUAUAUUGAACCGCAUGGUUCAAUAGUGAAAUACGGUUUUUCUGUCACUAAUAGAUGGAUCCGCGCCGCAUUAGCUAGUUGGUAAGGUAACGGCUUACCAAGGCAACGAUGCGUAGCCGACCUGAGAGGGUGAUCGGCCACACGGGAACUGAGACACGGUCCAGACUCCGACGGGAGGCAGCAGUAGGGAAUCUUCCGCAAUGGGCGAAAGCCUGACGGAGCAACGCCGCGUGAGUGAUGAAGGUCUUCGGAUCGUAAAGCUCUGUUAUUAGGGAAGAACAAAUGUGUAAGUAACUAUGCACGUCUUGACGGUACCUGAUCAGAAAGCCACGGCUAACUACGUG